AUUCGUUAGUCCUUUUGCUAACUCUGGAUAAUACUGCGUAUCGCACGACCUCGUGUCGGCGAAGUUUCAUUCGAGUAUCUGCCCUAUCAACUGGUUGGCAGUGUAUUGGACUGCCAUGGUUCUAACGGGUAACGGAGGAUCAGGGUCUGACUCCGGAGAGGGAGCCUUAGAAACGGCUACCAUGUCUAAGGAUAGCAGCAGGCGCGAAAAUUACCCAAUAUCAAUACGAUGAGGUAGUGACGAGAAAUAACGAGUCCGUUCUCUUUGAGGUCGGACAUUGGAAUGGGUACAAUGUAGACAAUUUAACGAGUAUCUACGAGAGGGCAAGUCUGGUGCCAGCAGCCGCGGUAAUUCCAGCUCUCGUAAUACAUAGAAUUAUUGUUGCGGUUAAAAAGUUCAUAGUUGGAUUGUCGAACCGUGCGGGGUGCGGCCGAAAGGUCGUCACUUUGGCGCGGUAUUUUGUGUGUUUGCGGGCGGGAAGCUCCUUCGCGGGGCGACUCGUCUCGUUGCACGCAGGAUUACUUUGAACGGCUCAAGUGCUCAAGGCGUGUCUUAGGACUGAAUACCGGUGCAUGGAAUAAUGGAACAAGGUUGCGGCCGAGUUUUAUUGGUUUUGUCGGCUGCCACAAUGGUUAACAGGAACAGCCGGGGGCAUUCGUAUCGCUGCGCGAGAGGUGAAAUUCGGGGACCGUAGCGAGACGCACUAAAGCGAAGGCAUUUGCCAAGAGUGUUUUCAUUAAUCAAGAACGAAAGUCAGAGGUUCGAAGGCGAUUAGAUACCGCCCUAGUUCUGACCGUAAAUGAUGCCAACUACCAAUCCGCUGGUGGGUUUCGAUUCCACGAGCGGGCGGGUUUCCGGAAACGACAAGUCUUUCGGUUCCGGGGGAAGUAUGGUUGCAAAGCUGAAACUUAAAGGAAUUGACGGAAGGGCACCACCAGGAGUGGAGCUUGCGGCUUAAUUUGACUCAACACGGGAAACCUCACCCGGCCAGCACAUCGUGAGGAUUGACAGACCGAUAGCUCUUUCAUGAUUCGGUGGAUGGUGGUGCAUGGCCGUUCUUAGUUCGUGCGUUGGCGUGUCUGCUUAAUUGCGAUAACGAGCGAGACGCCGACUGCUAAAUAGUGCGUCGAUUGGUUCGCUUGUCGGCGACCAUUUCUUAGCGGGAUUUGUGGUUUCUAGCCUCAAGAAAUGGCGCAAUAACAGGUCUGUGAUGCCCUUAGAUGUUCGGGGCCGCACGCGUGCUACAAUGGUGGUAUCAGCGUGACUGUCCGACGCCGAAAGGCGAUGGCAAACAGUUGAGAUAUUAUUAUGGCUGGAAUUGAGUG
rnacentral:rRNA from 1 species